AGAGUUUGAUCCUGGCUCAGGACGAACGCUGGCGGCGUGCUUAACACAUGCAAGUCGAACGCCUCGCCCUUAACUUACCUUCGGGUAGGAUAAGGAUUACNAGGAGUGGCGGACGGGUGAGUAACGCGUGGAGAACUUGUCCUUAAGUUAGGGAUAACCUGAUGAAAGUUGGGCUAAUCCUUAAUAGUCUGAUAGGAAGGCAUCUUCCAAUCAGUAAAGGUGUGUUUAUACACAUCGCUUUUGGAGAGCUCCGCGUCGGAUUAGCUAGCUGGUANAGUAAAAGCCUACCAGGGCAACAAUCCGUAGCUGGUCUGAGAGGACGAUCAGCCACACUGGAACUGAGACACGGUCCANACUCCUACGGGAGGCAGCAGUGGGGAAUCUUCCACAAUGGGCGAAAGCCUGAUGGAGCAACGCCGCGUGAGUGAANAAGGCCUUCGGGUUGUAAAGCUCUGUCCUUGGGGAANAACCGUAGUGAUAGCAAAUGCUCACUACCUGACGGUACCCAUGGAGGAAGCACUGGCUAACUACGUGCCAGCAGCCGCGGUAAUACGUAGAGUGCAAGCGUUGUCCGGAAUCAUUGGGCGUAAAGGGUACGCAGGCGGAUAUGCAAGUCAAAUGUGAAAACUACCGGCUUAACUGGUANACUGCGUUUGAAACUGUAUAUCUUGAGUGCAGCANAGGAGAGCGGAAUUUCUAGUGUAGUGGUGGAAUACGUAAAUAUUAGAAAGAACACCAGUGGCGAAGGCGGCUCUCUGGGCUGACACUGACGCUCAGGUACNAAAGCUGGAGGAGCGAACGGGAUUAAAUACCCCGGUAGUUCNGCUG
rnacentral:rRNA from 1 species